GGGGAUUUAGCUCAGCGGCAUAAGCACCUGCCUUGCAAGCAGGCAGUCUUGAGUUCGAUCCCUGGUAUCCAUA
rnacentral:tRNA from 1 species